CAUCAUUUCUUUACUUAUACAAAGUAUCAUCAAUCAUUGUAUACCGUGCUCUUUUCAAAAUUAAGCAUUUCUUAAGUUUUUUUCUAAACGUAGGUGAAAAUGUUUGAAAUGUCAAAAAUUGAAUUAUUUCACUAUACUCCAAUGAAAUCACAUCCACAAUAAAUAAAUCAGCAUCAAAAAGUACAUUAGGAACAAAUUCAAUGC
rnacentral:lncRNA from 1 species